GUGCACUUGUUAGAGAAAUUGUACCAGUAACGAUAAAAGAUUGGAGGAAGAUUCCUCUUGGAAUGAAAGAGGUCUUAUGGAAAUCUAUUCAGGCAAGAUAUAAGGUUGACAAAGAUUGGCAAAAGAGCUAUAUAUUCAAAAGUAUGGCAGAUCUUUGGAGAGCUUCAAAAUCAAGGCUAGUUACUAAAAUAAUAAAGGCACCAAAUGAAGAAGCAAGAUUGAAACUAAAGCUUGAUAAUAUUAAAUCCAUGAAUGAGUGGAAAAGUUUUGUUAAGGAAAAAAAAUAGUGCUGAGUUUAAGGCUACAAGUGAGAAAUACAGAAAAAUACGGACAAAGCAACUACCCCACACUUGUAGUCAUAAAGGUUAUGCAAGAUUGAUUGAUGAAUUGGUAAA